AAACAAAAAGGAAAUGGUGUUCUUCCUUAACCAACCGCCCUCAAAAAGCUGAUGACGCCUGAUUAAAA
rnacentral:ncRNA from 2 species